GCGUAUAUUAAGUUGUUGCAGUUAAAAAGCUCGUAGUUGAAUUUCGGGGUCAGUAGGUUGGUCGUGCCUAUGGUAUGUACUGGCUUUACUGAUUCCUCCUUCUUGAAGAACUGUAAUGUCAUUAAUUUGGUGUUGCAGGGAAACAGGACUGUUACUUUGAAAAAAUUAGAGUGUUUAAAGCAAGCUAACGCUUGAAUACAUUAGCAUGGAAUAAUGAAAUAGGACGUUUGAUCCUAUUUUGUUGGUUUCUAGGAUUGACGUAAUGAUUAAUAGGGAUAGUUGGGGGCAUUAGUAUUCAAUUGUCAGAGGUGAAAUUCUUGGAUUUAUUGAAGACUGACUACUGCGAAAGCAUUUGCCAAGGAUGUUUUCAUUAAUCAAGAACGAAAGUUAGGGGAUCGAAGACGAUCAGAUACCGUCGUAGUCUUAACCAUAAA
rnacentral:rRNA from 1 species